UAUUGUUAAGUAUACCAGUUAUUGUAGUGUGAAUAGAAAUAUUUUUUGUAAAUUAAAAUUGAUAAAUUCACAUUUGCCGAUUACUAUGUCUGAAGAAAGAUAUAUUAAAUGUGCUAACAAUUUUGUGCAUUGAAAAUGAGAUAUUGAAAACACAUUAUUUAGGGCUGGUAAACUUGAUCUUAAAAAUGUUAUUGAUGAUUUUGCUUUUCAAAAGCUAG
rnacentral:lncRNA from 1 species